UGUAUAGAGACAUGUGAGUGCAUGCAUUCCCCCUCUCUUUAUUCUAGGGUCUCAGAUGAAUUUGCUGGAGACCUCAGAAGAUACUAAAUUCUGGAACAUUUGUGAAAACACCUACUGGGAAAAACAAGUUCCCCAAUGAAGGAAAAGUGGCAACAUCAUCUUGGGCCUUAAAAGCCAGCAAAGAAUCCACUUGAGAAUGGGGCACUGUGACUGACUCUGUGACAUCCAAUCUGCAAACACAGGUGCUUGGAACACAUUGGCAUUUUUCAGGCUGUGCCACCACAUAGCGUAGCACCUUGCAGUUAAAAUCCAGCCAACCAGGACACAGACUGGAGAGGGUGGGGACAGUGCAGAGGGGAGGAAGUAUCCCUGCAGCUAUUCCAGCCCUGACAAGCAGUGCAGCCAGGUGGCCACGGCCCGGGACACGAAGCAGGCAUGUGGCUGCCAGCCUUACCCCGGCAAGAGCGGCAUUGGAGAAUUGACAGAGGAAAGCCAGCAGGAACAGAAACGACCGAGAAAGACAGAAAAGAAAGAAGGAUUACCUGCAUCUCCAGACAAUGCAGCUGUGCUUUUACUCCGAGCCAGGAAUGAGUGUGUGGGCGUCAGGAGCCUGCUAACGAU